ACUGUGUGGGAAGUUUGUCUGUGAGAUAGAGCUGAGGCACUGCUCUGCAGAGUGUCUGGAGCCUAAGUGGAUGCAACGUCCCCUGUCCAGCCUCUGAUAAGCAGGGAAGUGCCUGCUCUGCCCAGCUGGGAAGUCAACGGACUUGCUACAUUUCUCUUCUCAUUCCAUGAGGAGGAGGGCAGACUGCAGGAACACUACCCAAUUGUUUUGUUCUGAAAGUGUUUAGCAUUGCUGAAGGAAACAACUAGAAGCUGGACCAGAGAAUGGCAAAUACCUAUGUUGCUACGUCUGAUGGGUACUACCUCGCUGAACCCACACAGUAUUAUGGCAACCUCUCUUGGAGAAGCAGAAUUAUGAUCAAAAUACAAACAGCGCCAUGGCUAUGCACAACAGUUCUAUGUGGGUUGGACUGGACAGGUGUUUGGAAAGUCCCAAGAACAUUCUGGAUAAGAAUAAUGGGCCUAGUUAAAACCCAACUAAUGGGUUGUGGCUGUGGUCAGCCUGCCUCUGGGCCUGUGUGGGAUGCUGAAAGCAUUCUUACCAUGCCUGAAGCCUUCUCUGCUGUGUUGUGGCAACAACCGCAUGUACAAGAUAUUUUGCCAGAACAAUUCCAUUAUCAGCUGUGUGAUACAGAUUUCCAAGAACCACCCUAUUGUCAAUAUUCUACCGCUCAGUUUCCUCCAGCGUUACAGUCCCCAUCUUUACAAAGUCAUUUCAACACACAUGGCUUGGAUCCACAGUACAGUGGAGGCAGUUGGUGUGGACUCGACGCUCGAGAAUCUGGUCAGUCCACUUAUGUGGUUGUUCACGAUGAUGAAGAUGAAUUCCCUGGGGCACAAAGGUGCAGAGCAACUUGUUCUUUACGCUGGAAGGGUCAAGAUGACAUGCUCUGCAUGGUCUGCGGUGAUAAGGCAUCAGGAUAUCACUACAAUGCACUUACUUGUGAGGGGUGCAAAGGCUUUUUCCGGCGUAGCAUUACCAAGAAUGCAGUGUAUUCUUGCAAGAACGGUGGUCACUGUGAAAUGGACAUGUACAUGCGCAGAAAAUGCCAAGAGUGCAGACUGAAGAAGUGUAAGGCGGUGGGGAUGUUGGCAGAAUGUUUGCUCACAGAGAUCCAGUGUAAGUCGAAGAGACUUCGCAAGAACUUCAAGCACGGGCCUGCCCUGUACCCUGCCAUCCAAGUGGAAGAUGAAGGAGCAGACACCAAACACGUGUCAUCCAGCACCAGAUCUGGGAAAGGGGUUCAGGACAACAUGACUCUAACUCAAGAGGAACAUCGGCUUCUGAAUACCAUAGUGACUGUUCACCAAAAAUCCAUGAUUCCCUUGGGAGAAACAAGCAAACUUCUGCAGGAGGGUUCCAACCCCGAACUAAGUUUUCUGAGACUCUCAGAGGUAUCAGUCCUCCACAUACAAGGGCUAAUGAAGUUUACCAAGGGACUCCCAGGAUUUGAAAAUUUAACCACUGAGGAUCAGGCUGCAUUACAGAAGGCGUCAAAAACUGAAGUGAUGUUCCUUCAUGUAGCCCAGCUUUAUGGUGGGAAAGACUCAACCUCUGGAAGUACUAUGAGACCAGCAAAGCCCUCAGCUGGGACACUAGAGGUGCAUAAUCCUAGCGCUGAUGAAAGUGUUCAUUCUCCGGAAAACUUUCUCAAGGAAGGCUACCCUUCGGCUCCUCUAACUGAAGAAUGAGUGAACUUCAUGUAUCGGAUACUGAAUAUGCUCUGCUUACGGCGACAACAGUGCUUUUCUCAGAUCGUCCAUGCCUUAAAAAUAAGCAGCAUAUAGAAAACCUACAAGAACCAGUCCUGCAACUUUUGUUUAAGUUUUCAAAAAUGUACCAUCCAGAAGACCCACAGCAUUUCGCCCACCUCAUAGGGAGGCUUACUGAACUGAGAACUCUGAGUCACAGCCACUCUGAAAUCCUUCGCAUGUGGAAAACAAAGGACCCCAGGUUGGUGAUGUUAUUCUCUGAGAAAUGGGAUCUGCACUCAUUUUCCUGAAAAUUUACAGUGGUGAGACUUGCCUUAAAAUUUCAAAAUCAAAAUUGGAUGAAUGAUUUGAAAAAAAUGUGAUAACUCAAAAUCAUUGAGUUAUCACACACCACCUUAAAAUGGAGAUCCAAAAGGCUCAUCAGGGUUUGUGGAACUUUCAACUCUUAGAAGAUGAACACUCCAGGAUUCAUCUCAAGAUUGGAUGCAAAGGAAAGAAAAAUGGAGCCAUGUGGUGGCAUAGGCUCUGUAGUUGAGAGACAGAGACAAGAGGACCCCAUGUUUAAGGCAGUCCUGGGCUAUGUAGUGAGACCUCAUCUCAGAAGAAAAAAGAGAAGAACUGAUGGCCAUCAUUAUGUCUCCAAUCCUCACCUAAAGAAACUAAUUUUUUGUUGUUGUUGUUUAGCUGAAACACAUAAUGUGUAAAUGUGAACACAGGUAGGUUAUGGUUAGGAUAAGGCAGUUUGUAUGCUUCACUGGUUAAGGACACAUGGAUGGUGUAGCAGCUAAUGCUUAGAACCUCUUCUUCAUGAAUGAUUAACGAGGAACAAGCCUUUUCAAAUUGUAUCUGCUUUAUAUUUUUAAUAAGUAUGUGAUAAUUGUACAGAAUAGUCAAUAUUGUACAGAAUAUUUCAAUAUGGGAAUUUCAUGUGUAUAUAUUAGAUAUUUCUGGCGUAUUUGCCACCCACCCUGUGAUGCCCACACUGCCAAUGCCCUUCUCAUCCCCCUAACAUUUCCCUUCCUCUGCCUUGCCCUAAAACACCAGAUUCAUACGUGCAAGAAAACAUUUUUUAAACAAAUUUUAUUAGAUAUUUUCUUCAUUUACAAUUCAAAUGCUAUCCCAAAAGUCCCUUAUUCCCUCCCCUUAUCCUGCUCUCCAACCCACCCACUUCUGCUUCCUGGCCCUGGUAUUCCCCUGUAUUGGGGUAUAUAAUCUUUGCAAGACCAAGGGCCUCUCCUCCCAACGAUGGUCCACUAGGCCAUCUGCAAGAAAACAUUUGAUUCCAGUCUGAGUCUGUUUUAUUUCCUUUGAGUAUGACUAUCUCGUCAAUAUCUGCAAAUGACAUAAUUUCAUUCCUCUUAAGGAUGGAAAGGACUGGAUUGUGUAUGUAUAUCUGUAUAUAUUAUUUUAUUUAUCCACCUGCUGAUGACACCUAGUUUGAUUCUGUAUCUUGGCCACUGUGAAUCGUGCUAUAAUAAACCUAUGUAGGUUUUUAGAUUUUA